AUCAACUUUCGAUGGUAGGAUAGAGGCCUACCAUGGUGGUAACGGGUAACGGGGUGUUAGGGCACGACACCGGAGAGGGAGCCUGAGAAACGGCUACCACAUCCAAGGAUGGCAGCAGGCGCGCAAAUUACCCAAUCCCGACACGGGGAGGUAGUGACAAUAAAUAACAAUACGGGGUCCUUUCGGGUUUCGUAAUUGGAAUGAGUACAAUUUAAAUCUCUUAACGAGGAACAAUUGGAGGGCAAGUCUGGUGCCAGCAGCCGCGGUAAUUCCAGCUCCAAUAGCGUAUAUUAAAGUUGUUGCAGUUAAAAAGCUCGUAGUUGAAUUUCGGGAUCAGUACGCUGGUCGUGCCUUCGGUAUGUACUGGUGUUACUGGUUCCUACCUUCUGACGAACCGUCAUGUCAUUAAUUUGGUGUGGCGGGGAAUCAGGACUGUUACUUUGAAAAAAUUAGAGUGUUUAAAGCAGGCUCGCGCUUGAAUACAUUAGCAUGGAAUAAUGAAAUAGGACGUUCGAUCCUAUUUUGUUGGUUUCUAGGAUUGACGUAAUGAUUAAUAGGGAUAGUUGGGGGCAUUAGUAUUCAAUUGUCAGAGGUGAAAUUCUUGGAUUUAUUGAAGACUAACUACUGCGAAAGCAUUUGCCAAGGAUGUUUUCAUUAAUCAAGAACGAAAGUUAGGGGAUCGAAGACGAUCAGAUACCGUCGUAGUCUUAACCAUAAACUAUGCCGACUAGGGAUCGGAUGAUGUUAUUUUUAAUGACUCAUUCGGCGCCUUACGGGAAACCAAAGUGUUUGGGUUC
rnacentral:rRNA from 1 species